rnacentral:rRNA from 1 species
AAACCAGCACCUCAAGUGGUCAGGAUGAUUAUUGGGCCUAAAGCAUCCGUAGCCUGCUCUGUAAGUUUUCGGUUAAAUCUGUAUGCUCAACAUACAGGCUGCCGGGAAUACUGCAGAACUAGGGAGUGGGAGAGGUAGACGGUACUCGGGAGGAAGUGGUAAAAUGCUUUGAUCUCUCGAUGACCACCUGUGGCGAAGGCGGUCUACCAGAACACGUCCGACGGUGAGGGAUGAAAGCUGGGGGAGCAAACCGGAUUAGAUACCCGAGUAGUCC